GCGAACAUAGUUUAUUAAAAUUCUAGUCUGUGACUCUAGAGAUAGGGACUAAUUAUCCCUUGUCCGCC
rnacentral:tRNA from 1 species